UUUGGUGCACAAAAGCAACUCGACAGAGUAAAGGCUUUUUGUGUGUGUGUGUAAGUUAACAAAGGCUAACAUUUGAAGGCUGAUUUGUUGGAUCUAUUGACUGAGUUGAAGGUAUUGGGUUCUUCUCUGUGACAUACAAUCCGGGUAAAAGGGUCCAAAGGUGGAAAGAAGAAUGGUGGUUAUGGAUUUCAUCUUGGGUAGUGCAGACAACCUCUCCAAAUUCCAUUGCGGAGUGGCCGUGCUAGCACUGACAUUGGUAUUGUGCAAGAAGCAUGUAUGGGGCCAAUUCGGGAAAAGAGUAUGCACAAUGUCAAGAAAUAGCUUAGUCAACUUAGAAGGGGAAAACAUGAUACUGUAGAAGCAUCGACUCUUGGGAAAGAAAUUACUUUGUCUUGUAAUUUUAGGAUAUUCAAUUAAUGUAAAUUUUUUUAUUACCCUUUGGAUAUAUGGAUGCAUUUUGUUCAAGUACAGUUUGUAAGUGUAAUUGUAAUUUUACUUGUUGAAUGAAUUUUUGAUACAAUUGAGAUGGAUUUGGAUGGAA